rnacentral:SRP_RNA from 1 species
UCGUGCUAGGCGGGGAGUUAGCGGUUCCUUGUCACCGGCAACCCGCUCCAGCCGGGCUGAAUUCCUCGUGGAGGCGGUGGCGUGGGCGAGCAACCCGCGGCGCGGCGUCGAAGGCCGGGUCCGAUGCAAUGGUUGCCGGCGAACCCCGUCAGGGCCGGAAGGCAGCAGCGGUAAGCUGGAUGUUCCAUGUGCCGUCGGGGCGCCUGGCCGGAGCUUCAACCGCGGCGCGCAAGCCGGCGUCACUGGUCGAACCGAGGUGCACGA